rnacentral:rRNA from 1 species
UACGGAGGGUGCAAGCGUUAAUCGGAAUUACUGGGCGUAAAGCGCACGUAGGCGGUUCGUUAAGUCGGAUGUGAAAUCCCCGGGCUCAACCUGGGAACUGCAUUCGAUACUGUCGAGCUAGAGUGUGGGAGAGGGUGGUGGAAUUCCCGGUGUAGCGGUGAAAUGCGUAGAUAUCGGGAGGAACAUCAGUGGCGAAGGCGACCGCCUGGCCCAACACUGACGCUGAGGUGCGAAAGCGUGGGUAGCAAACAGGAUUAGAUACCCUUGUAGU